rnacentral:lncRNA from 1 species
UCGCAUAAAGAGACAUGUAAAGAUGGCAUGCGUGAGACAAAGGAGACGACGGAUGGCUCACGUGUGAUCUAGAGGGUGAAGGCAAACUUUACUCACCAUUGGCAUGAGUCUCACUCUCACUGACCUCCUGUACCAUCUUUGCCAGGUUUUCAAACGAGGAACCACCCACUUCCAUGGUCUUUCUAGAAGACACAGAGAGCUCACUAGCUCUAGCCGCGGCACGUCUCCCUUCCUCUCCGAAGAUCAACUCCCUUGCCAACACCUGCACGUCUCCACUCACAACCAAUCCACCGCCUUCCUUGUCCGCGUCUUCUUUN